rnacentral:rRNA from 1 species
GAGUUUGAUCGUGGCUCAGAUUGAACGCUGGCGGCAUGCCUUACACAUGCAAGUCGAACGGCAGCAUGAUCUAGCUUGCUAGAUUGAUGGCGAGUGGCGAACGGGUGAGUAAUACAUCGGAACGUGCCCUGUAGUGGGGAGUAACUAGUCGAAGAAUUAGCUAAUACCGCAUACGACCUGAGGGUGGAAAGUAGGGGGACCGGCAAGGCCUCAUGCUAUAGGAGCGGCCGAUGUCUGAUUAGCUAGUUGGUGGGGU